CUCGCACCCAAACCCAAGAACCGCAGUUUCUGGUAACAGCGGUUUAAACAGAGGUGCGAACAGCAAGUGAAUCUCGUCGCCUUUGGGGGGCUGUGCCGUGCCCCACAGAGUGAAAGUGGAGGUUCUACACCC